rnacentral:rRNA from 1 species
UACAGAGGUCUCGAGCGUUAGGCGGAAUCACUGGGCUUAAAGCGUGUGUAGGUGGAUCGUUAAGUACCUUGUGAAAUCCCACGGCUUAACCGUGGAACUGCUUGGUAUACUGGCGGUCUUGAGUCAGCUAGGGGCUACCGGAACAAAUGGUGGAGCGGUGAAAUGCGUAGAUAUCUGGAGGAACACCGGUGGCGAAGGCGGCAUCCUGGACCAAUUCUGACGCUGAGGAGCGAAAAGCCAGGGGGAGCAAACGGGG